GAUGAACGCUGGCGGCGUGCUUAACACAUGCAAGUCGAACGGACGAUGAAGAGCUUGCUCUUCAGAGUUAGUGGCGGACGGGUGAGUAACGCGUGGGUAACCUGCCUCACACUGGGGGAUAACAGUUAGAAAUAGCUGCUAAUACCGCAUAAGCGCACGGUUCCGCAUGGAACAGUGUGAAAAACUCCGGUGGUGUGAGAUGGACCCGCGUCUGAUUAGCUGGUUGGUGAGGUAACGGCCCACCAAGGCAACGAUCAGUAGCCGACUUGAGAGAGUGACCGGCCACAUUGGGACUGAGACACGGCCCAGACUCCUACGGGAGGCAGCAGUGGGGAAUAUUGCACAAUGGGGGGAAAACCCUGAUGCAGCAACGCCGCGUGAGUGAAGAAGUAUUUCGGAUGUAAAGCUCAUCAGCAGGGAGAAAAUGACGGUACCUGACUAAGAAGCCCCGGNUAACUACGUG
rnacentral:rRNA from 1 species